CCGGGCAGCCCGCGGGGAGCUCCUGCUCCGAGCUGUAUCCUGGGACCAAACACCUCAGCAACUCGCGGGUACAGGACAGAAGUGCUGAAUUCUUGCUGACCCGGGCUGCUUUCCGAGAGGCUGAAGGUUUGUCUGCGGGCCAGCUGAUGGCUUGACUCGGCUGCCCUUCCUCCCCCAGCCAGGCUGACACCGGUGCACGGUAUCGAUCUCACUGCGGUACGGGAGGUGCAGCCAAAGCACCGAGACGCGCUCGCCUCGUACAGUGUAGCAGAGUGAACUUUCAGAAAGUAAAAGUGCUUGUUCAGGAGGCUGAUAGAAUGGGCAAAACUAUGAUCCAGCAUCGAAGUACUAAUGUGUGAUGGAACUGGAACCCCACAUCUAAGUCUCUCCAGACCUCCAGACAUUCAUGUUCUUAUGUAGUGUGUGUGAAGUGACCACAACUUUGGAAGGAAGUUCCAAGACCCUCUCCUGGGUACAGGUGAGGCUUUCCAGGUGAGGAUUGUAUGCUUAAUACUGUUUGUCUGCUUUGAAGAUCC
rnacentral:lncRNA from 1 species